GACGAACGCUGGCGGCGUGCUUAACACAUGCAAGUCGAACGGUGAUGCGGAGCUUGCUCCGCGGAUCAGUGGCGAGCGGGUGAGUAACACGUGAGUAACCUGCCCUUGACUCUGGGAUAAGCGUUGGAAACGACGUCUAAUACCGGAUACGACAUCGGAAGGCAUCUUCUGUGGUGGAAAGAACUUCGGUCAAGGAUGGACUCGCGGCCUAUCAGCUUGUUGGUGAGGUAAUGGCUCACCAAGGCGACGACGGGUAGCCGGCCUGAGAGGGUGACCGGCCACACUGGGACUGAGACACGGCCCAGACUCCUACGGGAGGCAGCAGUGGGGAAUAUUGCACAAUGGGCGCAAGCCUGAUGCAGCAACGCCGCGUGAGGGAUGACGGCCUUCGGGUUGUAAACCUCUUUUGGCAGGGAAGAAGCGAAAGUGACGGUACCUGCAGAAAAAGCACCGGCUAACUACGUGCCAGCCGCCGCAGUAA
rnacentral:rRNA from 1 species